rnacentral:rRNA from 1 species
UACGUAGGGGGCAAGCGUUGUCCGGAUUUAUUGGGCGUAAAGAGCGUGUAGGCGGCCAUACAGGUCCGUUGUGAAAACUCGAGGCUCAACCUCGAGACGUCGAUGGAAACCGUAUGGCUAGAGUCCGGAAGAGGAGAGUGGAAUUCCUGGUGUAGCGGUGAAAUGCGCAGAUAUCAGGAGGAACACCGGUGGCGAAGGCGGGUCUCUGGGCAAUAACUGACGCUGAGGAGCGAAAGCGUGGGGAGCGAACAGG